ACGGAUAAGGGAUCCGAGUCAAUGCACAGGCACCCCCCUAACCAAGGCUUUAGCCCCCAAAAGGCAAAGGGGCUGCUGAGCAGUGCCUGAAGAGGAGGAACAGGAACAGAGAUGACAUGGGACUGCUAAUGUUCACAUUCACUGAGGCAAUCUGAGUUACGGCGUUGCUGAGCUCUGCACAACACAAGGACGAGGGACAUGAACUGAAACACAUCAAACCCUGCCUGAGAGCAGAGAACACCUUUUCACUGCAGGGGUGAUCAACCACUGGCACAGGUUGUCCAGGGAGGGGUUGGAGUUGCCAUCCUUGGAGAUAUCCCAAAGUUAUCUGGACACGAUCCUGGGCAACCAGCCUUGGGUGACCCUGCAUGAGCAGGAGCUGGACCAGACGAUCACAACCUCCACCAGUUUCCUGUGAUGGUGUCACCAGCAGGUCUAAGCACAAAGGAGUCGGAAAAGGGUGGGGGAAGACUCUUUCACAGCAGGGACUGGAAAGGAAGAGGAGAGACGUGGCAAACAUCCAGCAGAAGCAACUCAGAUGCUCAGAUACCACUGCAGGCAAGGAGAACACCCAGUGCAAGGAGCAGAGAGGCAGCUCAGGCACCAGCUCUGGGUGACACAGAACUGCAGCCACCAGGAGCUGACACUGCCCAGCUGGGCUGCUCAAGGUUCUCCGUUGCAGAAGACUCAGGAUCUCAGGUUUGAGGAGGAGCUUUUUUUGGUUUGGUAUUUCCCCACCCCAGAGUCAGUAUCAGCCCUUAGUAAACAAACCCAACACUGGAACAUCUGAUAAAUCUGGCAGGUUCCCAAUAGGUCAGAGUUGCUGAUUUUCAUGGCUCUGUGCUGUUGCUGAGGCUAUCACGGCAUUUGAACCCAAAGUACCACGAUUA